CUUGACUGCGAGCGUGACGGCGCGAGCAGGUGCGAAAGCAGGUCAUAGUGAUCCGGUGGUUCUGAAUGGAAGGGCCAUCGCUCAACGGAUAAAAGGUACUCCGGGGAUAACAGGCUGAUACCGCCCAAGAGUUCAUAUCGACGGCGGUGUUUGGCACCUCGAUGUCGGCUCAUCACAUCCUGGGGCUGAAGUAGGUCCCAAGGGUAUGGCUGUUCGCCAUUUAAAGUGGUACGCGAGCUGGGUUUAGAACGUCGUGAGACAGUUCGGUCCCUAUCUGCCGUGGGCGCUGGAGAACUGAGGGGGGCUGCUCCUAGUACGAGAGGACCGGAGUGGACGCAUCACUGGUGUUCGGGUUGUCAUGCCAAUGGCACUGCCCGGUAGCUAAAUGCGGAAGAGAUAAGUGCUGAAAGCAUCUAAGCACGAAACUUGCCCCGAGAUGAGUUCUCCCUGACUCCCUGAGAGUCCUGAAGGAACGUUGAAGACGACGACGUUGAUAGGCCGGGUGUGUAAGCGCAGCGAUGCGUUGAGCUAACCGGUACUAAUGAACCGUGAGG
rnacentral:rRNA from 1 species